rnacentral:misc_RNA from 1 species
UCGUACAACGGAGGUGCGAGGGCUGUCGCUGACCCUCAAAGGGUCGUGCACGCCUGAGUGCUCUCACACAAUCCAUCUCACCUUUGUGCAUCACCGCGUGGGUCCCCCUUUGCGGGGAGGGCCCACGUUUUCACAUAAAACUUGAUACAGUCUAGAAUGUUUCUUUUGCGGUCACACGCAAUCAAUA